rnacentral:lncRNA from 1 species
UUAUACUGGGAUAGGUUAUAUUGGUUAUACUGGGUUAUAUUGGGAUGGGUUAUACUGGGUUGGGUUAUACUGGGGGAGCUGGGCCGGGAGAUCGAGCAGAAAUACGACUGCGGCGAGGAGAUCCUGGGAAUACUGGGAAUACUGGGUUAUACUGGGAUGGGUUAUACUGGUUAUACUGGGAUGGGUUAUAUUGGUUAUACUGUGUUAUAUUGGGUUAUACUGGGUUAUACUGGUUAUACUGGGGUAGGUUAUACUGGUUAUAUUGGGAUGGGUUA